rnacentral:rRNA from 1 species
UGAGUACGAGACGCUAAGGCGUCGAAGUAGUGGAUGUCAUACUUCCAAGAAAAGCUUGCACUGUCAUAAAUAAAGAACGCCUGUACCAUAACCGACACAGGUGGGUAGGUAGAGUAUACUAAGGGGCGCGAGAUAACUCUCUCUAAGGAACUCGGCAAAAUAACUCCGUAACUUCGGGAGAAGGAGUGCCUUAUUCGUAAGGCUGCAAUAACAAGAUCCAAGCAACUGUUUAUCAAAAACACAGGUCUCCGCUAAGUCGUAAGACGAUGUAUGGGGGCUGACGCCUGCCCAGUGCCAGAAGGUUAAAGAAGUCGGUUAGCAUUAGCGAAGCUGGUAACUGAAGCCCUGGUGAACGGCGGCCGUAACAAUAACGGUCCUAAGGUAGCGAAAUUCCUUGUCGGGUAAGUUCCGACCCGCACGAAAGGCGUAAUGAUUUGGAUACUGUCUCGGAGAGGGGCUCGGUGAAAUAGACUUGUCUGUGAAGAUGCGGACUACCUGCACCAGGACAGAAAGACCCUAUGAAGCUUUACUGUAACUUGAAAUUGAAAUUGGACUUUAUUCGCGCAGUAUAGGUGGUAGGUGUUGAUUAUAAUCUUGCGGGAUUAUUGGAGCCAUCAGUGAGAUACCACUCUUGUAAUGUUAGAUUUCUAACUUUGAAUCAUUAUCUGGUCAAAGAACAGUUUCAGGCGGGCAGUUUGACUGGGGCGGUCGCCUCCUAAAUGGUAACGGAGGCGUACAAAGGUUUCCUCUGAACGGGUAGAAAUCGUAUCUAGAGUGUAAAGGCAUAAGGAAGCUUGACUGUGAGACCUACAAGUCGAGCAGGGACGAAAGUCGGUCUUAGUGAUCUGACGGUACUGAGUGGAAAGGCCGUCACUCAACGGAUAAAAGUUACUCUAGGAUAACAGGCUGAUCUCCCCCAAGAGUUCACAUCGACGGGGAGGUUUGGCACCUCGAUGUCGGCUCAUCGCAUCCUGGGGCGGUAGUACGUCCCAAGGGUCGGGCUGUUCGCCCAUGAAAGCGGUACGCGAGCUGGGUUCAGAACGUCGUGAGACAGUUCGGUCCAUAUCCGGUGUAGGCGUUAGAAUAUUGAGAGGAGCCUUCUUUAGUACGAGAGGACCGAGAAGGACAUACCUCUGGUGUACCAGUUAUCGUGCCAACGGUAAACGCUGGGUAGCUAUGUAUGGAGUGGAUAACCGCUGAAAGCAUCUAAGUGGGAAGCCCACCUCAAGAUAAGUAUUCUCAUC